rnacentral:tRNA from 1 species
ACAGUAGUGAUUCAGUGGUAGAAUUCUCACCUUCUAUUUAUAUAUAUAUAUAUUAUGCAGGAGACCCAGGUUUGAUUCCUGGCCAGUGUA